AGUCGACGAUGAAUCUUCUAGCUUGCUAGAAGUGGAUUAGUGGCGCACGGGUGAGUAAUGCAUAGGUUAUGUGCCCUUUAGUCUGGGAUAGCCACUGGAAACGGUGAUUAAUACUGGAUACUCCCUACGGGGGAAAGUUUUUCGCUAAAGGAUCAGCCUAUGUCCUAUCAGCUUGUUGGUGAGGUAAUGGCUCACCAAGGCUAUGACGGGUAUCCGGCCUGAGAGGGUGAUCGGACACACUGGAACUGAGACACGGUCCAGACUCCUACGGGAGGCAGCAGUAGGGAAUAUUGCUCAAUGGGGGAAACCCUGAAGCAGCAACGCCGCGUGGAGGAUGAAGGUUUUAGGAUUGCAAACUCCUUUUGUUAGAGAAGAUUAUGACGGUAUCUAACGAAUAAGCACCGGCUAACUCCGUGCCAGCAGCCGCGGUAAUACGGAGGGUGCAAGCGUUACUCGGAAUCACUGGGCGUAAAGAGUGCGUAGGCGGGGUAAUAAGUCAGAUGUGAAAUCCUGUAGCUUAACUACAGAACUGCAUUUGAAACUGUUACUCUGGAGUGUGGGAGAGGUAGGUGGAAUUCUUGGUGUAGGGGUAAAAUCCGUAGAGAUCAAGAGGAAUACUCAUUGCGAAGGCGACCUGCUGGAACAUUACUGACGCUGAUGCACGAAAGCGUGGGGAGCAAACAGGAUUAGAUACCCUGGUAGUCCACGCCCUAAACGAUGGAUGCUAGUUGUUGCCUUGCUUGUCAGGGCAGUAAUGCAGCUAACGCAUUAAGCAUCCCGCCUGGGGAGUACGGUCGCAAGAUUAAAACUCAAAGGAAUAGACGGGGACCCGCACAAGCGGUGGAGCAUGUGGUUUAAUUCGAAGAUACGCGAAGAACCUUACCUAGGCUUGACAUUGAUAG
rnacentral:rRNA from 1 species